CAGCGGCUGCACAGCUUCUCCAUCUCUCCACCCUGGCAACUCCACAGGAGUCAGCUCAGGGUCGAGAGUGCGGCCUCCUGUCCUCCUUGUCACCCUGUCACCCGUGUCAGCUGAGGGCGGGCCGGCCUUCUGACUCAGGGAUGAUGACUCUGGCUGGUUUUAUGUCAACUUGACACAAGCUGAAGAAGACAUCAGAGAGGAGGGAACCUCAAGUAAGAAAAUGCCUCCAGGAGAUUUGGCUAUAGAUAGAGCUCCACCUGCCUCUGCCUCCCAAGUGCUGGGAUUAAAGACACAUACCAACAACAAUAAAGACCAGACACAGGCAUCUUGUCAUCGUUAGAGAGCUCUAAGUUCCAUGCUGCAAAACUGGAGUCUCUUCCUUACAGAGCAACUUCCUUGUGUCUUUCUAACUGUACUUCCCUAACCAUGAUAUGAGGCCAUUUGUCUCUCCUCUUCCUAGACCCUAUCAGUCCUCACUUGUCACUAACUUAGCCCUCUGCUCUGGUGUAGGCCUAUUCAAAUGCUUAGUUCUGUAGAGAUGCAAAACUAGGGGACAUUCUCCACUGAGGCUAUGCCAUUCAACA
rnacentral:lncRNA from 1 species